GAGAAAUAUGAGAAAAGUCCAGCUUUGUUCGGUGAACUCGCCAAAGGCCAAAGCCCCAAAUUCAUGGUGUUUGCGUGCUCGGAUUCCCGGGUCUGCCCAUCUCAUGUAUUGGAUUUUCAACCCGGUGAGGCUUUUGUGGUCCGAAACGUUGCCAACAUGGUCCCUCCAUUUGAUAAGACAAAAUACUCUGGAGUUGGGGCCGCUGUUGAGUACGCUGUACUCCAUCUUAAGGUAGAGACGAUUGUAGUGAUUGGACAUAGCUGCUGUGGUGGGAUAAA
rnacentral:misc_RNA from 1 species